UACUGCGUCUCACUGUUGUUCAAUUCAGCGGCAGGAGCGAAGAGGCAAUACACUCAUCUGUACGGUUAAUAUUCGCAGCUCAACGUACUAUACAAUAUCUUUACGCGGAAGAAAUUGUAAGCGAAGGCGACAGCUGCUCACAGCGCCGACAUCGGCUGUCACUUCAGACGUUUCGAAGGAAACAACCCAGUGUUCUGCUAUGCCCCACGGCUCACAUUAAGCCUAACCGAGGACACGUUUGUGGUGCUUCAUCAGGACAAAGAUGUGUCCCGUGGACUCGGAUGUCUCGUCGAAGAAGACACACAAAACGGAUUAACGCCUUCAGUGAAACAGCAGCUAUGUGUUGACAUUCGUGCUGCAUCCUUCUGAGUAAUGCUAACGCUGACUGUUUAGUAGCUCGUGUUUAGGUGGCUACAAUUCGUAUAUUUCAGAUAGAAGCAGGUUGAAUUAGUAUCACCACACCAGCUGACGCCAUUUACAGAUUAAUGUUAGCAUGUCCACGGAGACUUACUAUGGACAUCGACUAUGACGCUAGGUGUAGCCACAGGGUUAUGUCACGGUCAGGUUAGCUCGGUGUGUUGCAUGGUCAUGCCCAGAAGGCUUGGCAUGAUGUAGACUGUCCCUGUGAAGAGGGUUAGGCGACUGGGGACGAGCAGUGUGUUAGUUAGCAAAGCUGGAUGCAGCUAUCCAACGAGGUCAAAGACGUGACAGCUGGCACUGGCAUAGUUUAGCUCAGAAUCGUUGCUAGCCAUGCUCAAAGCCGUCUGGUCCGUGUGACAACACAAACAUCCCAACGUACUUCGAGGGCACAUGAAUGCACCAUGUCCUGAUUGCAUAUAUUAUUUAUGCAGCUUGUCAUAUGAAAUAACUUGCAAUACAAGAAGCAGCAUCGUGGAUAAUCUGCUCCAGGAUUGUUUUCUGAAGACGGAGGCUUUCCAGCAGUUCCCAGCAUCAGCUGGUCUAGCAGCCCGUCACAAUGGAGACGGUGGGAGAUUUUGAGUACAGCAGAAAGGACCUGGUUGGUCAUGGAGCGUUUGCUGUGGUGUUCAAAGGAAGACACAGGAAGAAGACUGAUUGGGAGGUGGCCAUUAAGUGCAUUAAUAAGAAGAACCUGUCUAAGUCCCAGAUCCUUCUUGGCAAGGAAAUCAAAAUCUUGAAGGAGCUGCAGCACGAAAACAUUGUGGCACUUUACGAUGUCCAGGAAACACCCAACUCUGUUUUUCUGGUCAUGGAGUACUGUAACGGAGGAGAUCUUGCUGACUAUCUGCAAGCUAAGGGGACCCUGAGAGAAGAAACACUAAGGAUUUUCCUUCAGCAGAUUGCUGCUGCUAUGCGCAUCCUCAACAACAAAGGAAUCAUCCACCGUGACCUGAAACCACAGAACAUCCUGCUGUCAUAUACGGGCCGCAAGAAGUCCACCAUCAAUGGCAUUCGCAUCAAAAUAGCUGACUUUGGCUUUGCACGGUACCUCCAGAGCAACAUGAUGGCUGCCACACUAUGUGGGUCACCCAUGUACAUGGCCCCAGAGGUCAUCAUGUCCCAGAACUAUGACGCCAAGGCCGACCUAUGGAGCAUAGGGACAGUCAUCUACCAGUGUCUGGUUGGCAAGCCACCAUUCCAGGCCAAUAGUCCCCAAGACCUGAGGAUGUUCUAUGAGAAGAACAAGAGUCUACAACCUAUCAUCCCAAGAGAGACUUCUCCACAACUUGGUAACCUUCUACUGGGCCUACUGCAGAGGAAUCAGAAAGAAAGGAUGGACUUUGACAAAUUUUUCAGCCAUCCGUUCUUGGAGCCAUCAUCCACCAUCAAAAAAUCGUGUCCAGUGCCGGUCCCCAGCGCCUCCAACACAGUAACGGAUUGUUCCUGUGGCAGCUCACCAUGCAUCCGUUACAACUCUCCUCCCUCUCUCCCAGACAUGCAGACUCUGGCAGAAGAUGGUCUUUCAUCCCCACCACUCGGUCCUCCCAACUUCUUGCAGCUGUCCAAAGAGUCUGCAGGAAGCACCAGCAGUAAGAACUCAUCCUGUGACACUGAUGACUUUGUCCUGGUGCCUCACAUCUCUACUGACAGCUAUGACCAACCAAUGGGUGCUUGUCGUCGGCCAUCCAGUGAGUUCCUUAUGUGUGGAGGGCAACCCCAGCCCACCCCAGGACAGACCCCCAUGGUGUCCCCACGGAUCGAGACCACCCCCAUCCCUGUUCCCACCCAGGUCCGCAACUACCAGCGCAUCAAGCAAAACCUCUCUAGCAGCCCGACUACCACGCUCUACAGCUCCCCCAGGUCUGGCACAGUGAGACGCUCCAACACGAGUCCUAUGGGUUUCCCCAAAGUGAGCUCAGGCUCCCCUAGCUCUGCAGAUGUCCCUCAAACAGUGGGACGACGUCUCUCUACCGGCAGCUCCCGGCCUUAUUCCCCGUCACCUCUCGUGGGCACCAUCCCUGAGCAGUUGGGUCAAUGCUGCUGUCAUCUGCAGAACCAUGAGCCUCGCAGCCGGAGCUCCUCAGGAGGUUCCCCCGUACCAUCCACUCAGCUCCUGGGGGCUCGGCUCCAGAGUGCCCCCACCUUGACUGAGGUCUACCAGACCAGACAGAAGCUCCACAAGCAGCUGUCAGACCCCAUUCAGCCUUCCUCCUCCUCCUGCAGUCACUCCCCUCAGCUCGGCCGCCCAGCCAACCUUGGCUCCUCCCCCACCAAGUUGUUGGGCUCCUCCCCCCGUACGUCCGACUGGCUGCAGAAAUCCCCCCUGCCCACUAUUAUUGGUUCUCCUACCAAGAUAAUUUCAGCACCAUUUAAGAUCCCCAAAACGCAGGCAUCCUGUAACUUGAUGGCACUGGCAGACACCCCUGUGCCCACCAAGACCUCAGCAGAUGUCCGGGAUAUCUGUGCCCACCACUGCAGCCCGUACCUCGCUGAACGGGCCGCUGCCCCCGAGGCUAGUCGGACAUUCGGCAGGUCCAUUAGCACAGGUCGUCUGUCUGAGCAGCCAAUCAGAAUCACUCUGGGCGGACAAGCUUAUCAGGGCAGCACUGAUAGCUUGAACACAGAACGACCCAUGGAUACGGCCCCUGCAGGUCCCAUUGGGCACGCUCAGGGUGGGUCAGCGAGUUCCCGUACUGUUCUUUUCACCGUGGGUUCACCACCCAACAGCAGCACUCCUCCUACAUGCAGCCACCUGUGCAGCCGACCACGGACCACCUCUGUGGGCUCCAACAGUUCAGCUGGCUCCCUGUGCUCCACCAGUGGUCGGAUCUAUGUCGGAUCUCCCCCAGGCAUGACCAUAGGCUCCUCUCCUCCAGGAGGUGUUGGGGGUGGGCAGGCUGUCACCGGGGCAGAGGGGGGACCCAGUAGUCUGCGCUACGUCCCCUAUGGUACCUCCCCUCCAAGCUUGGAAGGAUUCAUCACGUUCGAAGCACCUGAUCUUCCUGAGGAGACUCUUAUGGAGCGUGAGCAUACAGACACACUGAUGCACCUGCGGAUGAUGCUUUCCUUCACUGACUGUGUCCUGGAGAUGGCAGCAGUUCGAGCCGGAGGCACAGAGCUUGGCAUUUCAGCAGCCUCCCUCUACCCUCCCCAGGACAGUGUGGUUGUGGACCAGAUUAGCCAACUCAGCAAAGAGUGGGGGCAGGUGGAGCAGCUGGUUCUCUACAUGAAGGCAGCUCAGCUCCUGGCUUCCUCCCUCCACCUGGCCAAGGCUCAGAUUAAAUCAGACAAACUCAAUCCUUCCACUGCUGUUAAACAGGUGGUGAAGAAUCUGAAUGAGCGUUACAAAAGCUGCAUCUCCCUCUGCCGGCGGCUGACUGACAAACUCAACCACUUCUUCUCUGAUAAGCAGCGUUUUGUGGACGAGAUCAAUAGCGUCACUGCAGAGAAGCUCAUCUACAAUCACGCUGUGGAGAUGGUUCAGUCGGCAGCUUUGGACGAGAUGUUCAAGCAGACAGAGGAUAUAGCUUACCGCUACAGCAAGGCUGCCAUGCUGCUCGAAGGCCUGUCCAAGAUCCUACAGGACCCCACUGACAUUGAGAAUGUGGCCAAAUAGCAUGUGUAACGAUGGUCAGCCAGUGCUGUGUAGUGUCUACUCUUCACUUCCCAUUGUGCUUUUAGUGCCCAUGGCUAAGUUUCCUUGAGGGCGCGUCAGUCUCACUCGCUGAAGAUCACAAGGCCAGUGUGGACCGCAGGAUCUCAGCCCUCUGCUAUUGCACUGUCACACUGUAUGAGUAACAGAGCUCACAUUAAUGAACACACACAAACACCGGGACCCGACCUAAGACUAUUAACUACCAUCCUCACAGAGCCACUGUUCCUUCCUGUAGCAGUUCAAGCACUUUUUCAUUUGAUACAGUACGUUUCAUCAAUAUAAAUCAUCGGUUCUUUUUAUCGGCUGCAUCACGGACUGAACUCUGACAAGUGACUGAUGCACAGAUUUACAACCAAAGACGACCAGGGAGCCAGAAAACGAAAGGCUGAAGCCAGAUGUGGAUAUAAUUCAUGUACUUUGAUGUGCAUGUCUUUUUUAAGGAUAUUAUUUGUUUGGGGGGGUUUCCAGGACAGGAUGGACAGAACCCUGUGUGUUAUGAACUGGAACAGACUCAAGCUUCACAUGAAGCAGUUCAUCUUUUAAAAUCCUACUUACUGUGUGGUUAUUAACUCUGUUUAAGUUGUUGUUGUUCUUAUUUAUUGGUUCAGAAGAACAUUGGUGUUUGAAUCUCCUGUCUGUCUUGAAAACCUGGAGUAUUGAAAAGGAAGGAAUUGGAAGUGAGCAAAAGGCUUACAAGCAUGGACAUUAACAUACAGCCAUUAGAGCAAAGAACCAGUAGAUUUAUAAUUGCUUUGUUUUUACUUUUCUUGUGUUGUUAGGUCAAGCACUUUAUAGUGGACUGAGAGGAGGAGUUGGUCUGUAAAACACCUAAAGGUAGAUAUGUGAAGGUAUGGGAUGGGUUUUCUAAUCACUCCUGCUUUCACACUCAAAACUGAACUGCUCUUUGUUCAUGAGUUACUAAGUCAGCUGCAUACAUUUCCUAUAGGGCAGAGAAACCAGGGAAAACAGGGAAAGCAAACAGUAAAGACACAUCAGUGACGAUCAGAGAUUGACCAGAGGCUUGACAGAACCAAGUAUCUCGACUUUGAAUACAUAUAAUUAAAGGGGCGUUCUACUGAUUUCACAAAGUAGGCUGAGUUUAUUCAUCAUAUGGAGUAUUGCACAUUCUAUGAUUCUGUGAUAACUCAGAUGAUGUCAUCAGGGUCGUUAUCUCAGUGAUGAUGUCAUUAUUUAUCUCAGUUAUGGGUUGAAAAAUCCCAUAUAUAUAAAUUGGAGUGUGGAAUUUAUGAGAUAGGAAGUCACCAGACAGGCCUGGUCUAUUGGCGUAAUGAUGAGUGGUAAAUGUAGGAUCUUGGAGUGUUUUUUUAACCUCAUUAGGGAUUAAAACUAUAAUUUUAACCCCUUUUGCUUUGAAUUUGACCAUGCUUUAUUUACAUUGUUUCUGGUAGUUCUCCAACUUUAUGGAAGUGUAAUACCAAAUUGGUGGAAUAUCCCUUUAAUUCCAGAUACAUUAGUUGUGUCUGGCAUAUGAAGAAUUUGCUAAAGUUUGAAUGCAGCCGUCUAAGUGAAUUGUGAAACUGGACAGUCAUUACUUGACAAGUUACCUGAAUAAUAUGUUUAAAUCUACUAAAAAUACUACAGCUUUUUAUGUUAUCCCAGUAUCUGUAGCUACUUUUUAACAAAACUUGUUUGCAAACUUGUAUAAAUUUGUAUGUGGUUCAUGCAAUGAUUCUUCUCUCCUUUUUUGGGAGGGGAGUGAGUGAUUGAGUUUGUGUGUGUGUGUGAGAUCACAGUUUGAGUUUUUUGGCUUGUCAAUGACGAUGCCAUCAGACACCCUUGCCUGUCAGUCAACAAGCACAAAUCUUUAUAUGUACAAAGAUGAAUUUGAUACAUUUUAUUCCUGUCUGCCAAGGGUUUGAUAAAGGACACCUAUUUUGGUAGAACAGGGGUGUGCGAAUGAAUAAAAUAAAACUUGUGGCAGCUCUGAAUCUUUCCAGAGAACUCUUUACCAGGGCUGUUCAUUGUUGAAAUCAACACAUUUGUUCAGUGGAUCUCAUGACAUUUUCUGAUAUAAGUGUGAUGUCUUCAGACCAAACUUUUGUGAGACUUGAUUUGUCACAAUCUUCACUGCCUAGUAUCCACUUAGUCCCUCUGCCUCCCCUCAAGUCCUCUGCUGUCCUCCCAACAGUGUAUGUACUGUAUAUAUAUAUGCAUGAGCGUCUCUCUCUCUCUCUCUCUCUCUCUCUCUCUCUCUCUCUCUCUCUCUCUCUCUCUCUCUCUCUCUCUCUCUCUCUCUCUCUCUCUCUCUCUCUCUCUCUCUCUCUCUCUCUCUCUCUCUCUCUCUCUCUCUAGGAUACACAAACAUGCACUUGCCAGGUGUGCAUUAAGGCCAGUAGUAUAGAGUUAAUGGUGGAAAAGGAGGUGCCUUCUUCUCAUGAAAGCAAGACAGACCUACUCCUGUACAGGUGUGAAUACAUUCUUUUUCUGUGUAAAAAGGUGUGUAAAUACAUUCACAGGCUCUGGGCCUGUUUCUAUGAUGUACUGUUCUUUUUUUCUAGACAUAUUUGUGUGUCAGUUUCGCUCAUCCACAUAAAGCCUUUCACUCCACGGAGUGAGGAGGGAAAAAUAUAGCUGAAAAAAACCCGCCUGAAUCUUUGGUCUGUACCAUUUUGUCCAUGGACUGUAACUAAAGAUGGACUAUUUUAGAUAAAGCAUGGCAUCUAUGUUACCCUGUAGAACCCCUAGAACCUUGAAUGUAUGUUCCCUGUUGUUUUGCGCCUCUCCAGCUUGAUCUGAAUGCAUUUUGAAGAACCCCACUGUCAGUCACAACCCUGAAAAUGCAACACUGUCCAAGCGCAGAUUUUUCAAAGAGAAACGGUAAUGUUAUACUUGUCUCACACCGUUAGGUGGCUCUCUUUGUUCUUUAUGGAACUCAAAUACAGUCUUUGUUAAUAAAAAAUGGAAAAAAUAAA